CCGAAACCCAAGCGAGCUACUUUCAAGCAGCUAUCCAUGAGCAAACCCGUCUCUGUCGCAAAAGAGUGGGAUGACUUGUUAGUAGAGGUGAAAAGCCUACCGAGCUGGGUGAUAGCUG
rnacentral:ncRNA from 1 species